rnacentral:rRNA from 1 species
UACGUAGGGUGCAAGCGUUAAUCGGAAUUACUGGGCGUAAAGCGUGCGCAGGCGGUGAUGUAAGACAGAUGUGAAAUCCCCGGGCUCAACCUGGGAACUGCAUUUGUGACUGCAUCGCUGGAGUGCGGCAGAGGGGGAUGGAAUUCCGCGUGUAGCAGUGAAAUGCGUAGAUAUGCGGAGGAACACCGAUGGCGAAGGCAAUCCCCUGGGCCUGCACUGACGCUCAUGCACGAAAGCGUGGGGAGCAAAGGG